rnacentral:rRNA from 1 species
GACCUCAAAUUAGGUAAGAGUACCCGCUGAACUUAAGCAUAUCAAUAAGCGGAGGAAAAGAAACUAACCAGGAUUCCCUUAGUAACGGCGAGUGAAGCGGGAAUGGCUCAAAUUUUAAAUCUGGUCGGUUCUCCGAUCCGAAUUGUAAUCUAAAGAAGCGUUUACAGCGUCCUCUCGGGUAUAGGUCCCUUGGAAUAGGGCAUCAUAGAGGGUGAGAAUCCCGUCUGUGACACGAGUUCGGGUGCGAUACGUUACGCUUUCGACGAGUCGAGUUGUUUGGGAUUGCAGCUCAAAAUGGGUGGUAAAUUCCAUCUAAGGCCAAAUAAUUGCAAGAGACCGAUAGCGAACAAGUACCGUGAGGGAAAGAUGAAAAGAACUUUGAAAAGAGAGUUAAACAGUACGUGAAAUUGUUGAAAGGGAAACGAUUGAAG